rnacentral:sRNA from 1 species
UUCCUAUUUCACGGUGCUCAUGAUUGACUCCUUCAAAAAUCUUUCAACAUGUUUUCGUUGUAGAGGUGUUUGUCCAUUGUCCAAGUUCACAUUUGUCAGCAAGACAACUCGAACCGGCCCGUGAACGUCAUGGAAGGAUCCUAGCUAUUAUUAUUCCUGUGGGAUUUCCAUAGAGACGUUCGAAAGGCAGACAUCUCUUUCGCGAGAAUCCAUGCAAAUAUCUGCAACUCACUCCGACGAUUUAAACGCAACAUCGCCUGUGUAGGUAACAUACAAGCAGCCCGAACGCAGGGGCAGAAAAUUGUGUCUUGACUGUUCCUGAUCCCUAGUAACACCAGGUCCUGUAUCAUUGCUUCAUUAUGUUACCCAGCCAGCCAGCUCUAGUACCCACCAUUGGAUCUCGAGUCCCAAAAUACCCCACACCAAUACAGUAACUCAAUCCAUUGGGUUCAUGGACACGUGCCAUCCCCAAGCACCACCAACCGUGAACCUCAGGCAGAUAACCUGUGCCUAUAUUGCAUGGGAUACCUAAUUCCAUGUAGUCGACAGCACUCUCUCUAAUGAAGAACACAUAAGUUGUUUUCCUUUAAGGUACGGUGAACAAGGACGCAAACAGUUGGAAAUAGAAGGAAUUUUUAGAAUCUAGAACCAGCGGGCCUCUCUACCAUUCCUUGAGCGGAUGCUAGGUAGGUAGACUGUUAGCCCUCUUGCAAUCAUAAAAACAUGACCACCAACACCGCGUGUGUGCACGCGACAGGCACCCUUGCCACUACGCUGUGACACCUACCUUGUUGGCUGAAGAGAGUCCGUUUCAGUUUAGUGGCACAGGUACAAGGUAACAAGCGGUACGGGAUACAGACAAGACCCAUGUGUGAGGGAGGACGGAGAUUGGGAAGUUUGCGGGAGUUUUUUUUUUUUUUUUUUUUUUUUUUCCAUUUGUUUGUAACAUGACAUGACUACCAUUAUCCCCCUAUUUAUGUAUUGCGGC